rnacentral:lncRNA from 1 species
UAAAUUAGAAUCACCGGGUUGCUCUCCGGGAUCCUGCCUGCUCUUUGAUUAUCCUCAAUCCAGGAAGCCCCAGGCUCCACCAAAACAAACUGACUCACUGUGCCUGGCACCUUCUCUCACAUGCGGCCUUUCCUGCAUGACCCGGCCACCCCUCCACACAGGCUGCUCAGCGUCACUUCCUCUGAACUCCCAGCCCUCCCAAGGGACUGACAUGUUGCUUCAUAUGGUAGCAGCCACACAUGGUCCUGCUUAGA